GUUUGAGAUAUGAUAGCAAUAUAACUGCUGAUAAAUUGUUGAUUUCGGAAUAAAAAUUGUUUGAAAACCAAAGUGUAAAUAAUUUCAAGUCUUUGGUCUAAUUUCCAAUUGUUUAAGACUAUUACAACUAUGAGUAAUCUCAUGUUUUACUUUUCAAGAAAAUGUUACCCAUAAUGCUUCAGUUUCUGGUAAGGCAAAUCAUCUAUCCCAGAGGUAAAAUUCUAAUCAGGCAAUUCGUUGAUACUUGUGUCAUUCCAAUGAUAUGUAUACAUUGUGACUUUUCCUAAGUCUGUAAAUUAUUUAAUUAAACUAAUUUUUAGGUUAAAACUCCCGUAAACUCGACUUUAUAUGAUUUUGGCUAUUUUGUAUAAGUACUUUUGUUUGUAAUCCUCUAAAUAGUUUUUUUUUUUGCAUUAUCUUUCUGAAAUCUUGGUUACAAUAUCAUACCUAAUGAAAUUACUUCUAGAAACAUGUGUCAUGCUUAUAGAAUUAGAU
rnacentral:lncRNA from 1 species